rnacentral:tmRNA from 1 species
GGGGGUGUCACGGUUUCGACUGGGGAUGUGAUCAGGUAUACGUUGCAGGUGGAGCGCCUCUCCUUAACGGCAAACCUUUAUAGCUGCCAACGAAGCAGACUAUACCCUGGCCGCGGCGUAAGCCUUAGGUCACGGGCACCCGGGGCGCAGUUCUGAGCACCGGUGUUGCUUGACAGAAAUCAGGACUUACCUUCCGUUGCGUUCGCACAGCGGUAGGGACAUCACCGCGAACUAGGAGUGAUCAGGCCGGUUUCUUUGCCUCGUUCGCUCCGAAACACCAAUAGGAAACUAAACCUGUAGACGCGUAUGCCUCGCUCCUUAGGACGGGGGUUCAAUUCCCCCCACCUCCAUGG